GCACGAGGAGCAGAGUUUUUUUGCAUGUGCUGCUAUAAAUGUGUUUUGUGCUCCAUUUAUUGGGUUUUUGCGCUGGAUUGCGUGUCUUAUCCAAUACGUGCCAGUUUCGGUGAGCGAAAAUCAUCUUAUGAAGAGUUUUCAUUAAAAGUACCGAGUUAUUUGGACGUGUGUAUGCGUGCGGAUGCCUAUGUGUAACGGUGCAGCCAUUAGCACGAAGCUAACUCACCUGGUGUACCUGGGGCCUGUUCUGGAAAGAUCUGCGUGUGCGUGUGUUCCAAAAUCCUGCCACUACCGUAUUACUUUUUUUUUUGGUAAUACUUCUGGGAAUACUGUUGCUACUAAAGUGAUUUACUUUUGUUACUAAGUUCUAGUACUUCUACAAGUAAACUGUAUUGCUUUUGUUAUUUCUUUUAUGAGUUUGGUUAUUGAUUUUAUUAUUUGUUUAUUGGGGAAAAUAGACCAAGUAGAGUUAAGAAACGAGUACAUUAAGGUUAUUUUGGAAAGGUGAUUUGUAUAUCACGAUUUAAAUAGAGAAAAACCUGUCAAAUUGGAUUCUUAAUUUUAUUUCUAUUUUUCAUUUCAUGACCCUUUUGAGGGCUGAUUCUCUGUCUCCAAUACACUUACUUUUCGGGAAUAAAAAAGAACCCCAUUUGUA